rnacentral:snoRNA from 1 species
UUUAACCUCAAGAUGAGAAUUAAAAAGAGAUGUUUUUCUAUGGUCUAGUGGCCAUUUCAGAACUUGGGCAGUGAAAUCGUCAAUUCAUUAGAAAGAAACAGCU